GGAAGCCUGAACCAUCCAUGCCGCGUGCAGGAAGACUGCCCUAUGGGUUGUAAACUGCUUUUGUCAGGGAAUAAACCUUUCUACGUGUAGGAAGCUGAAUGUACCUGAAGAAUAAGGAUCGGCUAACUCCGUGCCAGCAGCCGCGGUAAUA
rnacentral:rRNA from 1 species